GACGAAGGUGGCUAGCGUUAUUCGGAUUCACUGGGCAUAAAGCGCGCGUAGGCGGCUCUUCAAGUCGGGGGUGAAAUCCUGGAGCUCAACUCCAGAACUGCCUUCGAUACUGAGGAUCUCGAGUCCGGGAGAGGUGAGUGGAACUGCGAGUGUAGAGGUGAAAUUCGUAGAUAUUCGCAAGAACACCAGUGGCGAAGGCGGCUCACUGGCCCGGUACUGACGCUGAGGUGCGAAAGCGUGGGGAGCAAACAGG
rnacentral:rRNA from 1 species